rnacentral:rRNA from 1 species
GACGUAGGGUCCGAGCGUUGUCCGGAGUUACUGGGCGUAAAGGGCGCGUAGGCGGCUCUGUGCGUCACCCGUGAAAGCCCCCGGCUCAACCGGGGAGGGUCGGGUGAAACGGCGGAGCUGGAGGCAGCGAGAGGCUGGUGGAAUUCCCGGAGUAGUGGUGAAAUGCGUAGAGAUCGGGAGGAACACCAGUGGCGAAGGCGAUCACCUGGGGUUGUUCUGACGCUGAGGAGCGAAAGCUAGGGGAGCAAACGGG